rnacentral:lncRNA from 1 species
ACCAUUGUAGCGGAUGAAAAGCGUCAUGAGAAUGUCUACACAAGAAUUAUUGAGAAGUUGCUAGAAGUGGACCCAAACACGACUAUGAUAGCCAUUGCGAAUAUGAUGAAGAAGAGAAUUACUAUGCCAUUGCACCUCAUGUAUGAUGGGCAAGAUCCGAAUAUAUUUGAGCACUUUUCUGCCAUUUCCCAAAAGCAAGGCGUCUACACAUCUCGUGAUUAUGGUGAAAUAUUAGAAUUUUUCAUAACAAGAUGGGAAUUGGAAAAGCUUGAAGGCUUCACAGGGGAGACGAGACGUGCACAAGAUUUUGUGUGCGGACUUCCACAAGAUUAGGAAGUUGAAAAAUCGAGCCAAGAAAUUAGAGUCACGUUCGACGAAAUUUAGUUGGAUUUUUAACAAGCAAGUGAAUGUUUAGAUGUAUUGAUUUGUAAUGAAGAUGUAAAACUAAAAUGUAUCCUUUUACUUUUUACUAAUAAUAAUAGUCUUUUUGGCUAAUCUACUAAAAUGAACUUGUCUUUAGUGAAUAGCGGUUUGUAUUUAGCUAAAUUAUUUUGAGAAGUACUUUUAUUAUUAGUUUGUGUUUGGUCAAUAUUUUAAGUGUUUUUAAAUUUCAAAUUACGAAAAAUAUAGAUACUACUAAUUAAUUCGAUAAAUAUAAAAUUUUGAUAUGAGUAAUCUUGUUCUAAAAGAAUUACAUAAGUAUUUAUAUUUGGAAGAACUUGUAUGUUUGUUGGACUUCAAUAAGCUAUAUAGCAAUGUAUUUUAUUUUUUUCGUGAGGUGUUCCAGACUUUUUGUUUGAAAAGAGAUGAUACUAUCACAUUACUUUCACUUAAUGCUUCAUACCAUAUGAAAAAGAUAGAAUAUAUGAGGAUCUCAUCCCUUAUCUUAUAAAAUAAAUAAUUUAUUUAAAUCAACUAACAUUUGACUCUAAAUAUUUUGUCACUACAUUUCAUAUUUUUUAAUUAGACGAGAAGCCAAUAAAAUGUUGCUUCUUUUUUAACAAGUCACGAUAUUCUUGGGCAAGCCAACAAAUAACACUACCUGUUGUUGUUGUCGUCUUUGUGGUCGUUGUUGUCGUCGUCACCAUAUUUUAAUUAGAAGCCCAAAAUUCUCAACUUUCCUUAUUCUUUUGUAAUUUUUUUAUUUAUUACUAGCUCAAUUGGACAUUCAUUUGUUCCUAUAAUUAUUUAUUUUAAAUAAUUUGAUAUUUAUUUUAUAUGUUUUAAAAUUAUGGUCUUAAAGAGGUGAUAGACAAUACUUCUUUAAACUGGAAAUUAUAUUUAUUACUCCCUCCGUUCCAUUUUAUGUGAGGUAGUUUGACUCGGCACGGAGUUUAAGAAAGAAAGGAAGACUUUUAAAACUUAUGAUCCAAAAUGAAUGAUAGAAAUUUGUGUGGCUGUAAAUCAUUUCAUUAAGUGUAAAAUAGUCAUUUUAUUGUUAAAUUGUUACUUAAUAUAGAAAUGUAUCAUUCUUUUUUGGACCGACUAAAAAGGAAAAUAAAUCACAUAAAUUGAGACAAAGGGGGUAUUUCUUUUAAAUCUACCUACUAAUAAAAUAUUUUAAAAAUACAAUUGAUACUAAUUAAAGUAAAUUUCAGUGAAAUUAUUUAUAAUCAUGCCAAGCGCGAUUUAGUUUACUAGCUAAUAAUAAAUAACAACAGGAAGCAACUAUGUCAACUAUUGAGCUACUUGUUCAGUCUUUUAAUAUGAGAGAGAAAUAAUUAUGGUUACAAAUUACACUAACAUAAUAACAAUUUAUUCCCUUUCGGUUACCACUAAACUAUAUUAUAUUGUACUAAAGAAAGUAAAGAAAACAGUAAAUUUCUUGGCACAAAAGAUCUUUUACAUAAUUUUUCUAUCACUAUCUAAGUGGACACUAAUAAUAGUGAUGAUUUAACUUUCAUAAGUCAAUAAUCUUCAUAACUUUUACAAAAUUGGAACCCAAGAAAAGAAACUUGAUCCAUGUAUGAGAACUCUAAAUAUAUAAUUACUUGUCAAAGUGCUGGUUAUAUCAAAGUAAAUACACCAUAAUUAUCCGCAUGGGGGGCCAAAGAUUUUCUUAAUAUUUUUUCUUUUAUAACCCCAAUAUAUAGGCCAUAAUAAAGAAGGGAAUAUAACCCUGCAAAACAAGAGAAUAAAGUCAUUUCAAAAUUAUAUCUUUUACUAAAAAUAUUGAUAAUGCAAGGGCAAAAUAGGUAUUUAAAAAUUGAUUUUAUAAAGAGAAGUUUGACGAUGUCAAUGAUUUUCAUCCAUUAAUUAUAUACUCUAUUAACUAAACUUUGACUAAGACUUUUCUUUCUUGAAUCUUAGAUGCAAAAAAUGUCAAACUUAGUAAUUUUCAUAAAUCUCAAACCCACCAAAUUUUAUUUCAAAUGAUAAAGGUAAACUUCACACAUGGAGUAGCAUUUAUUUAUCUAUGUAAUUAUUAUUAUUAUGGAUAAUAUGUUUCUAGGAGUUGGGUUCAUCAGAUAAAGAGAAGAGGGUAGACAAAUAAAGACUAAUUAAAUUGUUUAAGUAUUUUACGUUACCUCCGUUAUACUUGAGGGCACCCAUUUUACUAAUAGUAAGGGCAUAAAUGGACCUAAGUAUAAUGAAAGGACAUUUUUAUAUUUUCAUAUAGUAUAAGGGCAUUUUUUACUCUUUUCCCUAAAAUAUAACAUAUUUCUAAUAUAAAGGAGGCCAAAACACAUAUUUUAAUAAAUUAAUGUUAGAUGUAUUAAAUUAUAUAUCAUAAUCGAAAUAAGAAUUUAUCAAUAACUAAAGGAUCGAAAGUAAUUAAGAUGAACUUACCCAGUACUUAGUAUGUCUGGAUGCAACCCAUAUUCUCUAGCGAAGACGAAUGGAACGAUUCUUUGGGGAAGAGCUGCCUGAAUAUUAGGUAUAAAAUUAAAUUUUCUAUUUCCUAUAGUUAUCUUAAUUUAUUUAAACUUAUAAUAUAUGAUAAAAUAGAGUUUUUUUUUUCAAACCAAAAUAUUGCAUUUUCAAAUUUAAAAAAAUGAAAAUUCUCUACAACUAAAAGCUUUGAGUUCAUGCAUGCUCUGAAAAAUGUUAUUACAAACUUCAACAAUUAACAUCAUGGUGCACGAAUUGAACCACUAAACAUGUAAUUAAGUGUAAAUAUAAUGUCCAAAACUUUUAUGUCAUAUGAUUGUUUGAAUUAAAUUUGAUAACGGUAUUAUUAUCAAUGUUCAAUUUAGAAAGAAUUAAGUAACAUAUAUUGUUAAUGAGUUUAACUUAUGUGCACCAAUAAUGGGGAAAAAAAUUACAUUAUUAUGUCAAGAAAAAAAACUUAAUAGUAGAAUUUCUAUAGUGAGUACACACAAUUUAAUCACACAAUUUAAUCGUAGAUAGUCAUGCUAUAUUUAUAUAUAUUGUAAUAGGUAAUUAUUUGCCUUCAAAAUUACAAAGCUUAUUUUUUUUUAUAAAUAUUUAUCUAUGAAUAUUUUUUGAGUGACCUGAUAAUUACCUGUACAAUUGCGGUAUGAAGUUGCGGUAUGAAGUCGAACUCCUUUUAAGUCCAACGGCAAUAGAAGCGGCUGACACUACUUAGAGGUCCACCUAUAAAUCUUAUGGCCAUCCCUAUUGUUGCCAUCGUACCACACGCAAUUAUUCGAGGUUGAAGUGCCAUGAACAACCCUAUAAAAAUACCAUACACAUAUUGAAUAUAAUGUUACAUUGCUAGGCUAGUACGGUUCGCUUGGCUCUUCGAGCAAUUACUUACUAGUUAUUUCAUUGGGGUACGUAAAUUUUGGUAAUUAUGUGACAUACGUAAACUGAACAUUGCCAUCCCAAGGCCUGCAUAUGAAAUUAUUUUAAUGGAAUAUUUUACCAAACUUGGCAUCCCCACAUUCCAUCUUGCUCAAAAAGUUAGGCAUCUUUGUUAGUAAGUACUCUAUGAUGUUAGGGUUUUGUCCUGAUUUUCUUACCAUAAUUUAAGAUUUAUUUUUCCUUAAAAGAAAAAACAAAACAUUACCAUAAAUGUUUUUACUUUUCUUGAAAGGAAAAUAUAAUAUUAUUUUAUAUUUUGAUUUAUUCUCUCCUUUUAGGACUCCUUUUCUAGUAGGAAAGGUUUUAGGACUCUAUAAAUAUAUGUUUGUUUCUUCUAACACAAUAACAAUAACAUCCACAAUGUAGUCGUUUAAGAGUCUUGUUUAUGGGGAGAUUUAUUCUCUCUAAAGUUUCAAUGUUUUUCUUUAUAUUAGUUUUGAUAUAAUAAUAUUUUUGAUUUUUUUAGUAUAAGUUUUUGUUAUCUGAUUUAUCAACUAUAUGAUUUGCAAAUUGUAAGCUUCCGCAUGACGCCCUAAUCACCCUUCAUAACCCAACACUAUGAUUCAAGGAAAGUAAACUUUAACGUCAUUAAAAUGACCCUUUAUGGAGUACAAUGCCAACAACCAGUAAAAAAUUAUAUUAGUAUAUUAUAUUAACCAAAAGAAUUAAAUUACCUUCAUUAAGUUUCAAAAUUACAUGGUAAUAUAUUAAGAAGUACUAUGUUUCAAUUUGUUCGUCUAGUUUUAAUUUGACACAAUAGAUAAAUGUGGUAAUAUAUAAAUAUGGGAUUAUUCUAACAAAAUAUAAACUUGUGGGUCAACUUUUGUAUUUAAAAAAUCUCAAAUCAUUAUAUGAAAUUUUUGGAGAAUAUGGUAUUUCAUCCAUAUAAAUAGGAUUUUCUUGUAAGCAAUAUUUGUCACUCAUCUAAUAACACUCUUUAGCAUUAAACUUUGUAUUAGUAAUGAUGCAGACUACAAGUUUCUCCCAAUUCAACAUUCCAUCGAUUGUACGGGAGUCACCUCCCCCUGCAACCACCAUACACCGUCGCAAAACCACCUUAUCACGGAGGUUAUCUCUGGUCCUUGCGGUGGCUUCACCCGCAACUUCUCCAUCACGCCACCAGGUCACUCACUCAAUGCCACCAGAAAAAUUGGAAAUCUUUAAGUCAUUAGAACCUUGGGUUUCCGAAAACGUCCUCCCACUCCGCAAGCCCGUAGAGAAAUGUUGGCAGCCCAUUGAGUUUCUCCCUGACCCAUCUCAAGGGCCCGAACAAUUCGAAGAAGAGGUUCGGGCCCUAAGGCAACGAGUUUUAGGGCUUUCAGAUGAGUACUUUGUUAUGCUUGUGGGUAAUAUGCUAACUGAGGAUGCUUUGCCUACUUAUCAAACCGUGAUUAAUACGUGGGACGGAGUACGCGAUGAAACUGGAUCUAGCCCGUGUCCAUGGGCAAUAUGGACACGGGCAUGGACAGCUGAGGAGAAUCGACAUGGCGAUUUGCUACGGACCUAUCUUUAUCUUUCGGGGAGAGUGGAUAUGUUGAUGGUUGAGAAGACCCUACAAUACUUGAUUGGAGCUGGAAUAGUAAGGCCUCUUCUGAAAAUCUUUAUAUAUCCAUCCUUCUUUUUUAUUUAGUUAAAUACUGUACACAGUUUUUUUUUUUUAAAAUACAAUAACACCAGAUAGCUAAAAGAUGCCAUAAAUAAGUUAAAUAUAUAUAUAUGUAUAUAUGAAAGUUGAAACCACCAAAUAUAUGAUAUUUCUUUGCACUGGACAAGUAAAAAAAAAUGAAAAAAAGUAUUGAAUAGAUAACAAAAAUUAAUAAUAUUGUUAUAGUAAAUGAAGCAUGAUAAAUAAAGAUAUGCUAGAUGAGAGUUACACAUUAAAUAAGCUUGAAGUAUUUGUACGUUAUUCAUAUUAUUAUAUGACCGUUAAAUAACGACGUUAUUCUUUUUUGAAUAUUGUUUUACCAUUUUUUUAACCUGGUUUAAAUGAGAAUAAAUAAUUGACAGAGACCUAUGGUCAUCCAAUUUUGAGUCUAUCACACAAAAAAUAUUAUUUAUCAUCAUACAUAUGUAUUAAAUUCAUUCAACUUUAAGAUUAUCACACAUAAUUCACUUUUUUAUUUUUUGAUACUUAAAAGUUAUUUUACUUUAAAAUUUAUCGCACAAAAGACAAAUGAAGCAAAAUAUUUAAGGAGGUUUAUGGAAUUUCUCAGACACAAAGUAACUUAUUUUGUAAUAUGGUGUCAUAUUUCUGGUACAUAAUAUAUAAAAAAUGUUCAAGUGAUAUUUAUUUUAUAGUUAACUAAGUCAAAUUAAGUUGAAUAACUUUUAUAUGAGCGGUAAUUAUUUUACCAUGUAAUAAGAUGUUUUUGAAGUUUAAAAUACUAUAGUUAGCGGUACGGUUGCAUGCAACUUCUUAUAAUUGUCAUGUAUUUUUGAAAAUUCUUUGCAUAUGUUAGGACAUUGGAUUAGAGAACAAUCCGUAUUUGGGCUAUGUAUACGCAUCAUUUCAAGAGCGAGCUACGUGUUCGUCACAUGGAAAUAUGGCUAGGCUAGCUAUAAAAGGCGGAGACCCCAUGCUAGCACGUAUAUGUGGAACCAUUGCCGCAGACGAGAAGCGACAUGAACAUGUCUACACAAGAAUUGUUGAGAAGUUACUAGAAGUGGACCCAAAUGCGACUAUGCUAGCUAUUGCACACAUGAUGAAGAAGAAAAUCAUAAUGCCAAUGCAUCUCAUUUAUGAUGGGCAAGAUCCGAAUAUAUUUGAGCACUUUUCUGCCAUCGGUGAAAGACAAGGGAUUUACACAUCUCGGCAUUAUGCUGAAAUAUUAGAAUUUUUUAUAACACGAUGGAAAUUGGAAAAACUUGAAGGCUUGAUUGGCGAGGCAAGGCGUGCACAGGAUUAUGUGUGUGGACUUCCACCUAGGGUUAGGAAGUUGGAAAGUAGAGCCAAGAAAAUAGAGACACGUCAAGUGAAGUUUAGUUGGAUCUUUAACAAACAAGUGAGUGCUUAGAUGAAUUGAUUUUUCAUAAACAGAGGCAAACCCAGGAUUUGAAGACUCUGGAUGCACCAAUAUUAUCUUAAUUUAAGCAUUAGCGAAACUUUCAAAGGUCAAGGUGGGUUUGUUCUACCGAAUGAUCAUGGGUUUGAAUCUCUUAUUUAUCAAUUUAAUGUUAUAAAUAAUCCCCCUUUAAAUCCAAAACUUAUAAUAAAAACAGUAAAAUAUGGUUCUUGGGCUCAAACCUAGGUCGUGAGAGCGGAUGCACUGGCCUUUACCAGCAGUACCACGUGUCAUCUUAUGCUUUCCAUGAGGGCAUUGUUACUUAUAUUUAGUUUCUGUCAGUUUCUCAAGAUAAAUAUUCAUAUAUAUAUAUAUAUAUAUAAUUUUUUCGGAAAUUAACGGAUGCACGUGGAUCCCUAUCUAUACAUGUGGGUCCACCUAUGAUCAUAAAGACGUAAAACAAAAGCUUAAUUAUCCUUUCACUGAUAAUCUUUUUCGCUAAGCUGGUAAAAUAAACUUAUUUUGAGACAUAUAUACUUCUUAUAAAAUAUAGUUUAGUAAGUGUUCGAGAGAACAAUAAUAUGUAACUGAUUAAAUCAUUUGAGAAGGGCUUUUAAGUAUUAAUUUGUAUUUAACAAUAUUUUUAAAAAGUAAUUUUAGAUGUCAAAUUACGAAAAACAUAGUUACCACUAAUUAAUUUGGUAAGUAUGAAUUUUUUAUUUGAAUAAUCUUGUCAUAAAAAAAUUAAAAGCACCUAUAUAUUCAGGAGAAAAAAAAUUGAGCGAGAUACAACCAACAAAAAUUGCACGAGGAUUCACUAACUUUUUAACGUGUGGAUUGUGGUCCAAUUUGUCCAUCAAAUAUGUACAAGAAAUCAAAAGGAAAGAGAAUAUAAGUAUUGAGUGAAAAUUAAAAAGAAAAUGUGGGUCCACACCAAAUUCCAUUAAAUAUAUUAUUACUCCCUUCAUUCCAUAUUAAUUGAAUUUUUGAGGUGUUUCACACUCUUUAAGAAAAGUAAAUUAAAACAUAAAUUGAACAUAGUUUUCCCAUUUUUACCCUUAUUAAUUAUUGUUAAAUUUAUUGAAGUCAUCACAUUGAAAAUCCAAAUGAAGGGUAAAAUUGGAAGAACACUCUAAAAGUAAUCUUGAAAACUGAACAAUUAAAUUAAUUUGAAAAAUGUAAAAUGACUCAAAAAUUCAAUUAAUAUGGAAUGGAGGGAGUAGUAAAUUAUUGGAUUAAAUGUGCAUUGUGGGGCUCAAUUGUCACUCAUUCCAACAAGAAUUCUAGCACUACUUUCUGACUUUCUUAUUCUUCAUGAACAUCAAAAAAAGUAAUUACAUUCUUUUCCAUUAAAUUAAUUUCAAUAAAAAGUCAAAAAUGCAUGUUCAACUAUUGAAAUUAAACAUGCAAUUUUCUUGAAGAUUGGUGUUUCAAUGUUGGGGAUCUUGUCAAUGUCAAAAAAAAAAAGUUGAUAGUGUUGUUGAUGCUUAAAUAAUUGAAAAGUUGAUGUUGAUCUUGAUUCUUCCCUCUAACUCUUGCUCAAUCACUUUGAUCUUCGUCUGCAAUUUUCCGUUAUUCAUAUUUUUCAGGUAUGAAUUUUUUUUAGCAUAAUGAUUUUCAGCCUUUAAGAAGAUAAUGGGUUAAAGAAUUGUCUAUAAAUAGUUUGAUUUAAUUGAUAUUUAAUUUAAAUGCACAAGUUAUUGCAAGAGGGUCUUUUUACAUGUCAUUUCUAAUGUCAAAAUACCAAAAAUCACAUGCUACACAAAUAUUUACUACUAAAUUACAGAUAUAAUUUCCACAUUUUCCUUUUAAUUUUCACUCAAAAUUUAUGUUCUUUCUCCUUUUGAUUUCUCUUCUACAUGUUUAAAGGACAAAUUGGGCCAACAAUCCACGUGUUAAAAAGUGAGGGGAUCCUCAUACAAAUUUGUUGGUUGUACCUCGCUCAAAAUAAAAAAAAUCAUAUAUUUGGGUAAAUAUCCACAUAAAUAUUAUGCGUCUUACUUGUUGUUUCGUAGUCUUUUUUACUUAUGUUCUUACACCAUUCUCAGUUAAGGACCUGAUUUAUUGACUUGUGGAGAAUUCUCACAAGCCAUCAAGAGAAAAUGACAUUUCAAUUGUUGAUUUCUCAGAUGGUCACUCAACUUAUAUGUAUUAUAUCAGAAAGUCAUUUUCUUACUGAAAAAUGAAAAUCAAGAAAAAUGUGACUUUAUGUAAUAAUAACAAUUAAUUGAAUGAUUAUCUGAAAAAUUAACUCUUCGAAUUCUAAUAGGUGUGCUUGAUCAAUAAAAAUAGAUUAUAUUGAUUGUGGACCAUUUUAUCUAGGGUUGGGCAUAAAAUAUCGAAUUACCGAAUCGAAUCAAAGUUUUUGGUAAUUUGGUAUUUGGUAAUUCUGUAUUUGGUAUGGUAUUUGAGAGUAAAAUUUUAGAAUUAUGAUAUUUGAGUUUGGGUUUGGUAUGAGACAUUAGUACCAUUUGGUAUUCGGUAUUUCCCGAAUACCAAAUUAUUUACUUAAUGAAGGUCAUAUAUCAAAAUAUCCAUUACUCAUUAGUACAAGGCCAAAAAGAAAGUUAAAGAAUAAGCAUGUAUAAUAAAUACAUGUCUUUUAGUUGCAUCAAUUUGUUUUUCUUGAUGUCUUCUUACUUGUUGAUCUUCUACUAUAUCGUGCAUUCACAUAAAAAAGAGAAAUGAUUUGAGAAAUAGUAUUAACUUUGUAAUACAAUCAGCUAUAACUUCAAUACGGUAUUAUCGAAUACCGUACCAAACCAAAGUUUAAUUUACCGUUUCCCGAAUUACCAAACCGAUAUUUAAAAAUUUGAUAUUUGAUAUCUAUUUUUAACUAUCAAUUACCGAAUUAUCAAACCCGAAAUUUGAAAAUCCCGAACCGAAUACUAAAUGUCCACCCUACUCUUAUCUACGACCCUAUCAAUUGGCUUCAUUUGUCAAAGGAGACCGCUAACAUUAAUGUCAAGUAGAAACUGACACUCUCAAUAGUUCGUGUAUAAAACUCAAAAAACUAGAAUAGUUUAAGUAUAUUUUUUACCCUUCAACUCUUACUUCAUAUUUAAUUUCCUUAAACCCUAGCCUUAGUAGCAUUCUUUUAUGUGAUUCCCCUUUACUGCUUGGUUGGAUGAUUCUUACAUAAUGUUUGUCUCGUAUCUUAUUGGUAUUUUAAAUAUAAUAUUUAUUUUGUUUGUUACUUAAAUUUUAUUAUAUCGUAUAUAUCAUUAAUUCGUUGUUAUAUAAUGACAAAAAAUUAUUUUAUGUAACAAUCGAUUUGAUUUGAUCGCUUUAUUGAUUUAUUUUUUCCCUAUGUUACCCUUACUAAUUAUUUAAUAAUAUUAAUUUACACUUUAUUCUUUUUUUUAAUAAUAAUUCUACAUCGUAUUAAUUUUUUUUCUUUAUAAUAUUGUGAGUUUAUUCUUUAAAUUGUUGGUGCAUGAUAUUAUAAAAUGACGACCGAAUUCAUACAAACUAUCCAAACAUUAAUAAUUAAAACAUGAAUCCCUACACCAAUUUCAACAAAUCCAAAUGUAACAUCAAAGAACAAAAUGCUGAUCCUUUUCAACCUCACAUCGCGAACGAAUGUUUUAUUUUCAAAUCAGCUUAAAGCAUGGUCAUAAGUUGAUAAAAAAAUCUAAAAGACUUCAUCCAUUUUCUAAGAUUCCCCUACUAUUGUCACAAUUCAAAAAUUGAGGUCAUGAUGGAACACACCUUGAAAAUUUAAUUUGGUGUGUAAGUCGAACGAUAUAACACAUACGAGACUCCCAAAGGAAAGUCAAGCCAGAACUGAAGAGAAAAGAAAUACAACAAAGAUGUUCUCAAAAUCUGAUAUCAUAAACAUAAAGAGCAUACAAUACACUUCUAGAAUCUGAAGUACACCUCAAGUCUUUGAAGAGAAAUUAGAGACGCUAAAUGAAUGAUGGAGACCAUUGGCGAUCCGAGAAGCAGGAUCUCACCACAGCUCUGAAUGGAAUCACCGGCUAGAUCCGAUCAACCACCACGAGGAACACCCUGACUAGGAUUUGCAUCAAAAGGAUAACAUAAGUAUGGUUGAGUACAAUCCACAUGUACUAGUAGGUUUGACCGACUGAGUAUAAGGAAAUCAAUCAAACUUAAGAAAUAAACUAUGAAACAUUUUCAUCUGCAUACAAAAGAGUCUUAUUCCAGCAUCAGUGCCACCAAUUUAUAUAAGAACUGCGCAAGUAAACCAAACACAUAAGACUACAAAUAAUUUCUCAUAUCAACGGGCAAAUUACACAACAAACAAGGUUUUCCAAUGCAAUGCAAUAAAAUGAUGUGAUGGAACCAAGGUUAUCGCACAACCUGUAGUAUACACUUUGUCGAGCUUUAGCUUCCAGACAACGAUCCAUGAGGGACUAGCAGUCCAUAUACCAAUCUUGCAAUCUCAAUAUCUCAUUAACUUGCCACCUAGCUCUUGGUCAAGGAUAAAUGUAAGGUGUCUCAUUUUCUUUCUCAAAAUAGUAUAUCUCUAGUUUCUCAUAUUCCCAUGAUCAAUGGUAUGAUGAAUGGGGAUGAAUGCAUCACAACACAUAUAAUACAAAGGCAUAAUCAAAUCAAUAAGUCUAAAGUUCUCAAAUCAAUGAGUCGUGAAAUACACCAUCACAUGAUAGAAAUAGUGAAAGAACCGACUCAACCCCUAACUCGGGCAUUACGUGUCAGACAUACCAAAAAAGUCAUCUCAAAUCCUUCUCUCGGGCAAUCUCAUGAAUCACAUGUUUUCAAAGCAAAUAUUAAUACCACAUAAGGCCCCCACACUAUCAAAAUAAUACAAAUAAGUCCUCACAUGGGCAAAACAAUAAAGUCCAUAAUUUCCAACAUCUCAAUAGCAUAUUACGAUCCUAUCACAUAGCCUAAUUCUAAGAACGAUCAGUUACCCAACCCAGUUUAGAAGAAGGACAAACCAAAACCUACCUCAAAGGUCGAAACUAAGGUUGGGCACCGGAACGGGUUGUACUGGUACCGUUCCGGUCCGGUAGUAUUCAGGACGGGAUGGGAUACAUUGAACCGGUACACAGAACAGAACGGUAUCAUGAUUUGGUACCGGUAUACAGGUACCGGUUCAUUCCGGUUCCGUUUCGAUCCGGUACCGGUCCGGUCCCGGUAAAUCAUUUUUAAUUAAAAUAAAAAUAAUAUUUUUGUCAUUAUUUACUUUUAUUAGCAUUUCUUUUUUGUUUGUUUAAUUUUUUAAAAUUACCAACUUAAGUUAUUUAACAUACAAGUUAUAAAUAUAACUUAUAAACUUCAAAUCUUUAAUACUUAUAACAUAACUACAAAAGCUCAAAAACUUUAAAAAAAACUUUAAUUAAACUUAACUUACAAACUUAUAUACGUAAAAUUAAAAAAAAUAAUCUUUGAAAUAAACUUAAGUAAAAUUAUUAUAAAUUUUAAAACUUAAAUACUAUAAACUAAUAUAACUUAGAAAAAUAAAAAAAACAUUCGUAUUUUUGUAAUUCAAAAUAACUCAAAAAAAAUAAUUAUUUUUUUGAAAUAGCUAUAUGUGCCGUCCCGUUUAUCCCAUCUCGUUCCGGUCCGGUCCGUCCCGGUUCUAUCCCGGUAUAUAUUGGGACGGGACGGAACUGAGCCUCCAUCCCGGUAGUUCCGGUACGGUUCAUCCCGGUACGGUCAACAACCCGGUCAAACCGUCCCGUUCCGGUCCGGUACCGGUUCGUUCCGGUCCGGUGGAACCAUUCCGGUCCGGUGCCCAGCCUUAGUCGAAACUUCACCCGAACCAUUAUACAAAAGUCUUUCUUCCACCAAACGAUCUCCAACGAUUUUCAACUAUCAAGAAUGGAAAGAAGUCAUAAAGGAUUCCAGCUAUACCCAUAAUGUUGAGUUGAGAAUCAAGGAUAAAAUAAUCUAAAAACAUCUUCAAAAUUGGAAAGGGUAAAAUCAAAUUGUUAUUUGAAAAAUAUGCUCGACAAGUAACAAAAAAACAAGUAAAAAUCGAGUUCCACAUCAUUAAAUUGCCAAUUUUCCAACUUAGGGGAAAAAUCUCAAAAUCCACAUUGAAAUCAUGAUUUAAAAGAGUUUUAAAAGAUGAUAUACAAAGAAAUCUAUAAGGAAUUGAUAGAAGAAGCUUACCCACGUGAGUUUUCUUUAAAAUACUCUUCAAAAAUCGCAUAUCCUAAGCUCCAAUUGAUUGAAAAUGGUGAGAUAUGAAAAAUAAGAAGAAUCCCAAAAUUAAGUUCUAUCCAGGUGCAAAAUACUCAUUGCGGUCUCGAGCCACUAACUUUUGCAAUGGCGAAGAACACUGAAGUAGUGCAUUGUGAACGUGAACUCAAUGUCGCGAAUGUGAAGCUCUUUGAAGAAGACUCUUCACGAACGCAAGUCUAUAUAUCAUGAUCGCGAAGAGUGCAUGAGUGAUACAACGCGAAAAUGCUUAUUCGCGUAACUCUUUUGCCUACUCUGGGUUGUCACAAGAUGUUGUUGAAUCAAUUUCACUCUAUCCAUGAAAUCUUUAAAUAAUUAUGUACCCCAAGAUCGAACCUUAAUUGAAUCAAAACAUCUAAUGGGAGAUCUACCCUUCCUCCCAUACAAAGCCUCAAAUUGUGUCAUCCGAAUUCUGAAAUUGGUAACAAUGACCACCAAAGUCCAUGACAUAAUCUCGAAGCAUAUCCUUAAGUACCUAAAUAGUCCGAUCAGUCUGACGAUGGCAAAUGGUACUCAUCUCACGCUUGGUACCCAUCUGCUCUUGCAUAGAACGCCAGAAAUGUGAGGUGAACUGAGUACCUCUUUCAGAUAUAAUAGAAAUAGGCACUCCAUGUAACCGAACAAUCUCUCAUAUGUAGAUCAUACUUACCCAAAGUUAAGGGUAAUCCAUUCACAAAGUACAUAGUAAUACGCUCCCACUUCCAAUCAGGAUUGGGCAUUAUUUGCAUCGUAUCACCCGAUCUUUGAUGCUCAUACGUCACUUGCUUAUAGUUCAAACACUUGGCUACAAAGUACAUAAUGUCACUCUUCAUAUCACAUCACCAAUAGUGUUGCAUUAAGUCAUGAUAAUUUUUCUCCCCCUAGAUGAAUAGAAUACUUUGAACAGUAAGCCUCAUACAAUAUCAUACGUACCCGACCACCAAUUCUCGGUACACAAACACAACCACAAAUCCUCAAAUCUCCCUCAAAAUCAAGAGAAGUCGACUUAGCUUCACCUUUUAAGACUUUCUCGGAUCACUCUCAACUUGUCAUCUUCUAACUAGUGAGAACGAAUCUAAUCAAUCAAUGUAGACUUAGCCUCCACUCAGGCCAAAAUAUGUCGAGGUAUCAAAAUAUGAAGUUGGACUAACUGCCUAGCCAAAGACUAAACCUCUAAUAUCAAAGGUCUCUCCUCCAUCUUUAGAAAGUUUAAGCUACCCAGGUAGGUGUUUUUCGACUCAAAGCAUUUGUUACCACAUUUGUCUUGUCUGAAUAAUAAAGAAUGGUUAUCUCAUAGUCUUUUAACAUAUCCAACCAUCUAUGUUGCCUCAUAUUCAAAUUCAGCUAAAAAAAGAGAUAUUAAGGCUACGAUGGUCGGUAAAGACAUCGGAAUGCACAUUAUAGAGAUAAUGCCUUUAUAACUUCAAAAUGAAGACCACCGGCCCUAACUCCAAAUCAUGAGUAAGUUAGUUCUUCUCAUGCACCUUCAACUGUCAAGAAGCAUAGUCUAUAACUCUCCCAUUUUGCAUCAACAUUCUUCCCAAAUCGACACCUGAAGCAUCACAGAAUACAAUAAACACCACACCUUACUCGGGUAAUUGCUAAAAUAGGUGCCGAGGUAGAUAAUUCCUUGAGCCUUUGAAAGUUGGGUUUGCACUCAUCUGUUCACUGAAAUGCUAUCGUCUUUUGAGUCAACCUAGUCAACAUGGCUGCUAUGAAGGAGAAACACUGAACGAAUCGAUGAUAAUAACUGGCUAACCUAGUGAAACUCCGAAUCUUGGUAGGAAAAGUAGGUCUCGUCCAAUCAUGAACCGCCGCAACUUUGGCUAGGUCAGCCAUAAUCCCUUCCUUAGUCACCACAUGACCCAAGAAAGCCACAAACUCAAGCCAAAACUCACACUUCGAGAACUUUGCAUACAAACUUUCAUCCCUCAAUAUUUGAAGCACGGUCCUCAAGUGACAAAGGAAUAAACCAAGAUGUCAUCAAUAAAUAUAAUCACAAAGGAAUUCAGAUAAGGCUGAAACAUCUGACUCAUCAACUCAUAAAAGUGGUCGGGGAAUUAGUUAGUUCAAAGAACAUGACCACAAACUUAUAAUGCCUAAAACGAGUCCUGAAAGCAGUCUUCAUAAUAUCCAAAUCUCGAACUCUCAACUGAUGGUAACCCGUUCAAUCUUGGAGAACAUUGACGCACAUUGAACUGAUCAAAUAAAUCAUCAAUGCAAGGAAAAAGAACCUUAUUCUUAAUUAUGGCUUUGUUUAACUAUCGAUAGUCGAUAGGCAUCCUCAUACUACAUAUUUUUUCUUCAGAAAUAAGAUCAGUGCGCCCCACGGUGAAAUACUAGGGCGAAGAAACCUCUUCUGCAAAAAGUCUUCUAAUUGUGCUUUCAAUUCUUUCAACUCCGCCGAAACCAUCCAAUAAGGAGAGAUAGAAAUGAGAUUAGUGCCCGACUCUGAGUUCGUAUCCUAAAGGAGUGAUAUCCUUUCUUCGUGCUCGUCACAUGAUGGAGAAGUGGUGUUUAUCUUUACUAUUCUUUAGAGACUUUUUAUACAUUUGAGUUCUCUAUUUUCAUUUUUAAACACAAUCAUUUUAUGUGACGUAUUUUCCUUUUCGAUUCAUCUAAAUAAAAUAUAUUAUCUCUUUAAAAUUAGAAACAAUUUAACUUUAAAAUUCUACUUUUAUCCUUAAUGAAAGGUAAUGUCUUUCAAGGAUGACACCUUUAACUAAUUAAUGUGAGAACUAUUACUCCAUUUGGCAGCCCAUAAAUGAUAUAAAGUACUGCCUCCAUUUUUUAAAAAAAAUCUAGUUUUCUUUUUAGUUUGUUUUAAGAAGAAUAAUCCCUUUACUUUUUUACAAUACCUUAAUUUCAGUUUUUCAUGUAUUAUGUUAAGGCCACUAGAUUAAAGAGUAUUUUGAUACAUUUGACAUAACUUUAAUUUAGGAUCAUCAAAUUAAUAGGUAUUCUUUAUUUUCCCAAAUUUCGUACAAAAUCAAACUAAAUCAAUUUUUUUAAACGGAGGGAGUAGCAUUUUUUGCUUUAUAAGAGGACGACAUAAUGCACGAAGCAAUCUGUUAAAGAAGUUAUUAGGUAUUCCUUUUCUUCACUUUUACUUGUCUAUUAUUCUAAAAAUAAUACUUCAUUUUCAAUUGUUAUUUUUGACAUAUCAAGAAAAGAUACAUUAUUUUUUUCAAGUUUACCCUUAGCAUCAAUGACUUAUUUCUCAAAUCAUUUUUCAAGACCUAAUACUAAAUAUUAAUUAAUAGGAAUAGUGUGGUAAAAUCAAUCAGUAUAUUUUUAAGAAGUCUGUUUUAAUGUCACUCCCCGACCCUACACCAUGGACGUGAAUAGCACUCGGAGACCAUUGUUGGUCACGAGCGAAUCCUUGACCUGGCUAACUAUGAUACAUACGACUCAAUAGGAUACACGGAAGCUUUAAUAGAUGAACAUUUAAAACUUUUACAAAACUUAAAAGAGAAAAUUGCCAAAUGACCCCCAACCUAUUAUCGGAUUUCCAACAACACACUUAUACUUCACGGGGGUCCUAUUACCCCCCUGUGCUAUUUUAAAUAAGAAUUAUUUCCUCCCUAAAAUGUCAUUAACAGGCAUGUGUCUUGUGGUGAAAUACACACACUUGACACGUGUUAAUAAAAAAAAUCUCCUCUUUCCUCCUCCUUUCUUCCUCAGUCAUUUCUUCAACCCUAACUAUAAUAAACACCAUUUUUUACCUCAAUAAAUUUUUAUAUCUCUAAAAAUUUAUAAGAAUGAAAGUUCAGGUCGGCUUUUCAUCCACUCUGAAUCUCUGGAGCCUUGAAGAUAGUAGUGUUAAUCAAAUUUUUCAUUCAAUUAAUUCAAUAAUCUUUUCACAUUUCAUUCAAUUUGCUUAAUUAGACAAUUUCAGAUACACAUUGAAUGAGUCAUGAACAUUCGAGAUUAGAUUCAACCUCCGAUUCCGUCGAUAGCUCAAAAUUAUCACGGAUGAGUAGACCAAUUUGUAACACCAAUUUGAGAAACCUUUCUCUCUUUCCCAAUAUUUCUCCCUCUAAAAUUUUCAUGAUUAAUUUAUAAUUUGAGUUUUUGAUUUUCAUUCUUCAUGGGUUUUAGGAGAACAUGUAGGGUCCACUUUAAAAAUGUAGAAGAAAUUGUUUUGUUUCAGUUUCUUCAUAAGUUUGAAAAUCUUUUUUUAAAAUAGAAUUACUUCACUUUGACUUGUUACUCUUGAAUCCGGGACAUUUUAAAAAAUCAAUUAAUGGGUAUAUUUUUUUGAAUAAACUAAAUUUUCUAGAAAUGUUCUAAAUAAGUCGAUUGAAAAAUUAUUUAUUCAUAAAAUGCAUUAAUUGUUGAUAAUUUGUAUACCAAAUAUCCAUUGAUUAAGCUUCAAUAAUGAUAAUGGUGAAGAAGGUAUAGUUGUAUAGAUAAAUAAGAAGAAAGAAAGAGAAGAAAAAACGUAAGUUAAAAAAAAUAGGCAACUCACUUUCUCAAAGAGAGUGAAAUACACUCUCUAUGCCAACUCAACAUUUAAGGGGUUAUUUAUUUCAUUUUAAAGUAAUCCAGGGAGGUAAUAUGGCUCCCGUGAAGUAUAAGUGUGUAGUUAGAAAUCCAGUAAGAGGUUGGUGGUCAUUUGACCAUUCAUUGUUUGAAAAUACUUAAUUUAAUAGUUAAACAUUAAGCAAAACAUCUUAAAAGUACUAAAAACUAUCUAACUUUGUUUGUCUAUGAAGCCUCUACUAUCUAAAUAUAGGUAAUGAGACAAGACCCACGAAACCUUAAAAUGCGACUAAAAUAAAAAAAUAAACUAAAGUCCUCUGAAAGCAAAGAGGUCUCACCAAAAGCUAGCUGACGAGCGCAUAAUGUGAUCUUAACGGAAUGCAUGUUGAUGAUCCUAAGUACAUUGGAUAUACGAGUAUGUAAUGGGGUUGAAUAAAAUAAAUAACCAAAUUGAAGGGCUGAAAGCAUCUCAAGUGAAUCACUACAUGAAUAUGAGGUGAAAAUCAUUUAAGCUUUACAAUAAGAUAUGCAGUAAAAUCUAUAUGAAAAUAAUAUAUUUUACUUUGUUGGGGAAUUUCUCUAAUUGACAACCAUCAUUAUAAUCCUAGCGAUGAUACAACGUUCACCUAUGUUGAAAGGGUGAUCUUGUACUUUGCAGAGGUAUAAGAUGCUAACUAUAACUAGGAGUCAUCCAAUAAGUCUUCUUGAGGCAAUGAGGAGUCGUCUGAAAGUUGGUACAAUCUUAUCCUAUGCUAGCAAGGUAGUUUUGUAGGGUUUCAAGUAAAAAAUAGACUCUUACCUAAAUUGAUGCUCGAUUCUACUCCUAAAAUGAUCAAUAUCAAUAUGCUCAAUAGUCCUCUGAGAGAACAUACUUUACAUUACUUUCAUUUUUCUUUACUGAAGUACUUUUCAAAAAAUCAAUUAUACUCUUUCUCUUUCUGAACUGUCAAAUAGUACAUAUGAAACCAUUCAUAUCCUUUCUUUAAAAAUUCAUUUCAAAACAUGCAUCUAAAAUGUAUACUUUCAGACUCACCUUUUAAGUCCAAAAUCGAUGUAUAAGAAAUCUCAUAUAUUAAUCUUUAUAAAAAAAAUAGGGUUCAUGUGAUACAAAACAUGAACAACAAUUUAGAAUUCAAUAUGCAAAAUAGAAAUCAAAAUCUCAACGAUUAAGAAAUUGGAACUCAGAAUAAGAAACACAAUUGAAUUUAAAUUUCAAGAAAAUUGGGAAUAUAAUUCUAAACAUAGUGUUUCACUGACUGAAUUAAGAUGUAGGGAGUGAGAACGGACUUGUCCAUCACUAUGAGUAGUCUUAUAUACCUGGAAGAACAAAGCACUUGAAGAGGUCUAAAAAAGAACUUGAUUAGAAACCUUGAAUGCCUGGAUUUUGUCUUCCUAGCGGGUUUUUUUUAGUAUGGGAGUUGAGAGCAUAGAAUUAAAAGAAAAUUGAUUACUUGGUGGAAUAUAUUCCCAUAAUUAAAGUUAAAAUAUCAUGGCUUGGGCUUAGAAAAAGUGGGAAAAGACAAAAGAAACCCCAGUUAGAAGAUUGUUGAAAACCUUCCACGUGGCCAUGCAUCUACGGUUCGUGGAUUGAUCUACUGAUUGUAUGGGAUGCCCCGAGCCUACACCUUGUACGUGGCCGGCACUCGAAGACCAUUGCUGGCCCCAAGCGAACCCUUGGUCUGGCUUACUUAACUCAGCGGAAGACAAUAUUCAUAUAAUAACUUAAAGAAAUAAUAUCUUAGCCAAAAUGGCAACUCAAAUAUUAAACGAUACAAAUGAAAUGAAUAAGACUAAAGAACUAACAUCUGGCUGUCUAUGAAGCCUUUAAUAACAACAGAUAUGGAUGAUGGGACAGACCCCACAACAUCCUAAUAAACUAAACUAUAAAGCAAUGAAAUGGAUCCUCCAGAAUGCAAGGAGGCUCACCAACAGACUUUGAACUGAUCACUGGAUCAACGAUGUGCCGGAAUGCCGAUCCUAGUUACAUGUGUCUGCAUCAUAAGACAAUGCAAGCCAACUGGCAUCAAUACAUUGAAUGUACGAGUAUGUGAGUUGGAAUGCUAAAACAACAUAGGCUAGAAAGAAUCUGAGAGAAACUGAAAAACUUACCUGGCUCAACUCAACUCAACAUGACUAAACUCAUUUCAAUAUAAAUCAAUUUAAAAACAAGUGCAAUAUAAGGAAAAGUUGUUUAAAAACAUUAUAUUAACUCUGUGUGCAUGCAAAGAUACAAAUAACUCUGAGAUGUAUGUAAAAAUACAAAUAACUGAUGUAUAUAAAAAUACAAUACUUUUGUGGGAGUUUCUCUAACCAACAACCAUCACAUAAGAGCUAUAGUGAUGAUACAUCGAUCUACCUCACGCUGCUAGCGCAUCCUAUACCCGGCCAAAGGUAUAGGACCUGAACUUCCUAAUGGAUCCACUAGUCUAUUUCGAAAAGGAUUCAUCCAAAAAGUAUGACCCAUUUUUACCCAUUGUGGCUACAUGGUUUUAUGGUGACGUAAGUUAUCUGAACUCAUGCUCGUCCCCAAUUCGGUGCUCAAUACUACUCCCAAAAUAUACUAGCUCUUAUGUUUUAAAAAAACAUACUUCUUCUCUGAUUUGAGAUUAGUGCUCAAAAACUUAGCUCAAAGGCUAUCUUGGAAAUCUCAGUUUCCCUUCUAGCUUCAUUUAGAAAGCUAUUACUCUUUUCUGAAAACUAGCCCGAAGGCUCUCUGGAAAUCUCAGUUUUCGUUCUUAUUUAAAUGUGAAAAAGAUUUUAAAUCUCUUUGGGGAAAUACUUAGUCCCCAUAUGCUUAUUUGAAGAAAAGAACUUCAACUUUACGCUUUACUGAACUCAAAACUUAAGUCUUAAAACAAAGUUAAAACAUUUGUGAAAGAUUUUUUGAAAAACUUUAAGAACAUAUCUUAACUUGACUCUUGACUUUUCUUAAUUUUGAUCUUAACAGCUCUUGACUUGACUCUUAACUAAUCUUCGAAUUGAAUUAUGGAUUCAAGGAUUAUGAUUUGUGUUUGGAAAGACUUCAUGAUGAUUCGGAAUGAUUUCGAAUAGCUAAACUUGAGAAAAGUUAUGAAAUCACCGUCUUGGAACAGGUCCGCAAUGCGGAGAUGUUUCUAAAUAAAUACUCGCGAAAUUUAAUUUUCAGACAGAGGAGUCCGCGUCUUGUCCACGACGUGGAGUCAAUUUUUGUUCACUGGGGGAACAAGUCCGCGACGCGGACUUGUUUGACGAAGUCUGCUCGACUUUUACCUUCUUCGUUUUCCACCUCCAAUUCGCCUAAACUCGGAUAUUUUCCUCAAAUUCAAUUUAGAUCCCGAUACCCUGCAUAUGUACUCAAGAACCUAACUAGAGGUAACUCUAAAACACAACGUAAAGAUCUCAGAAACUCCACAAAUCAACCCAAUUCAAGAAUUCAUGUCAAGAACAUCAACAUUCAAACUCUUUUAAGACGAACUGUGCUGAACAAAACAUGUUUGACGCGCGGGUGAAUGAACCCAACGCUAUGAGAGACUCGCAUACCUUGUAGGAUCAAUUCCUUGACGAAUCCACCACCAAAAUCGAUCGUUCUUGGCGAAUCUUGUUUUUCUUCUACUCCUUUCUCUUGCGUCGUUCUCCAAAAACCCUAACUCUAAUUUUUCAAAAGCGUAAACUGAACUAACUCAGUCUUGACCCCAAUUAUUUUACUAAUAACGAAUUUAAUUAAUUGGGUAAGGAAAAGACCAAACUACCCUUAAAAAAUCCGGAUUGGGCAUUUCUUUAUUCGAACUGCCCAACUUCCAAAUGACAUAACUCAUUCAUCCGAACUCAGAAUCGCACAAACUCGGCGACAUUGGAAAGAUAAUUCCAAGAGAUUUCCAACCAUAUCUGGAAUCACACAUAACUCAUCUUGAGCUAGGAAUUAUAGCCGUUUGAAGUUGACCAAAAACUCACUUUAACUUACUUAAAAAUUUCCAGAUUUCCUCAUUCUUUCAAAAAGUAACUAUUUCCAGAUUUUAAACUUCCUUCUAGUUCUUUAUAGUUACAAGAUGUUACAAUAUCUCCCCCUUGGGAACAUUCGUUCUCGAAUGAGAUUACUCUUACUAGGCUUAGGGUGUAGCAUCAAAUUCAAACACCCAACAAGCAAAUGCAAACAAAACAACAUGCUCAUUCAUAAUUUAAAGAGCACUAAGAAGAAAAUUAGUACCUUGAUCUGCACUUUCUUCGGAUUCAAAGAGAUGUGGAUAUCUAUCCUCCUCAGCUUCCAAGUAGCUUCCUCAACAAAUUGGUUCCUCCAAAGGACUUCGACUUAUGCUAACUCAUUUGUUCUCAACUUGCGAACUUGGCGAUCUAGAAUCUGAACAUGAAUCUCCUCAUAAGAUAAGCUAUUCUUGAUCCUAAUAUUUUCAAUUGGUAUGAUCAAUGAAGGAUCACCCAUGCACUUCUUCAACAUGGAGACGUGAAAUACAAGAUGAACAGCUGAUAACUCUUGUGGUAGCAACUCAUAAGCUACAUUGUCGGUCCUCUUGGCUAUGCGAUAAGGUCCAAUAUAUCGGGGACUAAGCUUCCCCUUCUUACCAAACCUCAUAACACCCUUCAUGGGUGAAACUUUCAAAUACACCCAAUCAUCUACUUCAAACUCUAACGCCCUUCUCCUAACAUCAGUGUAGGAUUUUUGAGGACUUUGUACCGUUUUCAACCUUUCUUGAAUAACUUUAACCUUCUCCAUAGCUUGAUGGACAAAAUCUGGUCCUAUUAAUCCUGCUUCACCAACUUCAAACCAUCCAAAAGGAGAUCUGCAUCUUUUCCCAUAAAGGGCUUCAUAUGGAGCCAUUUGGAUGCUAGAGUGGUAACUGUUGUUGUAAGCAAACUCAAUUAAAGGUAGGUGAUCAUCCCAAUUGCCUUUGAAAUGAAUCACACAUGCCCUCAACAUAUCUUCUAAUGUCUGAAUGGUACACUCUGCUUGCCCAUAUGUCUGAGGAUGAAAGGCAGCACUCAAGUUCACAUUUGAACCCAAACCUUUCUAAAAAGAUUUCCAGAAUUGUGCAGUAAAUUAUGCACCUCUAUCUGAAAUAAUGGAGAAUGGAAUCCCAUGAAGUCUUACCACCUCCUGAAUAUAUAACAUGGCAUAAUCCUCUGUUGAAUGGGUAGUCUUUACCGGUAAAAAGUGGGUUGAUUUUGUCAUUCUGUCGACAAUCACCCAAAUAGAAUCAUGUUAUCUGCGAGACCUUGGUAAGCCUAUGAUGAAAUCCAUAUUUAUCAUCUCCCACUUCCAUUCCGAAAGUUCUAUAUUUUGAGCCAAACCAUAGGGCCUUUGGUGCUCUACUUUCACUUGUUGGCAAUUUGGACACUUAGCAACAAACGUUGCAAUGCCCUUCUUCAUGCCAUUCCACCAAUACACUUCUCUCAAAUCGCGAUACAUCUUUGUGGAACCCGGGUGAAUGGAUAUCUGGAGCUAUGAGCUUCCUCCAUGAUCCUCUCUUGGAGUCCAUCCACCAUAGGUACGCACAAUCUACCUUGAUAUCUCAAUUCACCAUCUCCCCUUGUUCUAAAAGCUAAUACUCUUUGCUUAUGAACAUUUGCCUUUAACUCUAGCAAAAUGGGAUCUCGAUCUUGCUUUUCUUUCACUUCUGACAUUAGUGACGAUUCAGCCCCAUUCGUCACCAUUAUUCCCCCUUCUGUGGAAUUCAUAAGUCGGACUCCUAAGCGUGCAAGUCUAUGCACAUCCUUUGCUAAAUCUAUCUUUUCUUCCUCAACAUGGGUGGUACUACCCAUAGAUAACCUGCUUAAAGCAUCAGCAACCACAUUAGCCUUACCUGGGUGGUAAAGAAUACUCAUGUCAUAAUCCUUGAGUAAUUCUAACCACCUUCUUUGUCUGAGAUUAAGCUUUUUCUGAGUGAACACAUAUUGAAGGUUCUUAUGAUCAGUGAAUAUAUCAAUAUGAACACCAUACAAAUAAUGACGUCAUAUCUUUAAAGCGAAAANNNNNNNNNNNNNNNNNNNNNNNNNNNNNNNNNNNNNNNNNNNNNNNNNNNNNNNNNNNNNNNNNNNNNNNNNNNNNNNNNNNNNNNNNNNNNNNNNNNNNNNNNNNNNNNNNNNNNNNNNNNNNNNNNNNNNNNNNNNNNNNNNNNNNNNNNNNNNNNNNNNNNNNNNNNNNNNNNNNNNNNNNNNNNNNNNNNNNNNNNNNNNNNNNNNNNNNNNNNNNNNNNNNNNNNNNNNNNNNNNNNNNNNNNNNNNNNNNNNNNNNNNNNNNNNNNNNNNNNNNNNNNNNNNNNNNNNNNNNNNNNNNNNNNNNNNNNNNNNNNNNNNNNNNNNNNNNNNNNNNNNNNNNNNNNNNNNNNNNNNNNNNNNNNNNNNNNNNNNNNNNNNNNNNNNNNNNNNNNNNNNNNNNNNNNNNNNNNNNNNNNNNNNNNNNNNNNNNNNNNNNNNNNNNNNNNNNNNNNNNNNNNNNNNNNNNNNNNNNNNNNNNNNNNNNNNNNNNNNNNNNNNNNNNNNNNNNNNNNNNNNNNNNNNNNNNNNNNNNNNNNNNNNNNNNNNNNNNNNNNNNNNNNNNNNNNNNNNNNCUAGCAUGAUCUUCUUCAUUCCUUGAAUAGAUUAGUAUGUCAUCAAUGAAUACGAUAACAAACAUAUCUAAAUAAGGUUUGAAGACCCUAUUCAUAAGGUCCAUGAACGAUGCAGGUGUAUUGGUCAAACCGAACGAAAUGACCUUAAACUCAUAAUGACCAUAACGGGUCCUGAAUGCUGUAUUGGGAAUAUCACAUUCCCUUACUCUCAACUAGUGGUAGCCUGAUCUGAGGUCCGAGAAACAGGAAGCACCCUAAAGCUGAUCGAAAAGAUCAUCGAUUCUCGGGAGAGGAUACUUAUUCUUGAUGGUAACCUUAUUCAACUGAUGGUAAUCUAUACACAUCCUAAGGAAACCAUCUUUCUUUCUCACAAACAAGAUCGGAGCGCCCAAGGCGAGACACUUGGUCGAAUGAAGCCCUUAUCUAACAAAUCCUUUAACUGGUCUUUCAAAUCUGUUGGUGCCAUUCUAUAUGGCAGAAUAGAUAUGGGACGAGUAUCUGGAAGAAGGUCUAUACCAAAGUCUAUUUCUCUCUCAGGAGAGACUCCGGGAAGAUCAUCUGGAAAGACUUCUGGAAACUCUUUACUACUGGAACUGACUGAAUAUGAGGUACCUCAACACUUGAGUCAUUAACUUGGACUAAGUGAUAGAUACAACCCUUUGAAACUAACUUUAUUGCCUUAAGGUACGAAAUGAAACGACACUUAGGUACUGCUGAACUGCUUUUCCACUCUAAGACUGGCUCAUUUGGAAACUGAAACUUUACUACUUGAGUCCUACAAUCAACUGAGGCAUAACAUGCAUGAAGCCAGUCCAUACCAAGAAUGACAUCAAAGUCUACCAUGUAUAACUCAAUUAAAUCAGUCAUGGUACCCUUGUGAUUGACGAAAAUAGGACAAUCAUGAUAGACUCUCUCUGCUAGAAUAGACUCACCAACAGGUGUAGAAACACUGAAUGGUUCUCUAAGUUGCUCAGGAAUAACAUCAAAAUUCAUAGCAAUAUAUGGAGUUAUAAAAGAUAAACUCGCUCCUGGAUCUAGCAAGGCAUAAUCAGUAAAGUCAAACACUUGAAUCAUACCAGUGACAACAUUUGGCGAAUCCUCUUACUCUUGGCGACUAAUGAUCGCAUAGAGGUGGUUUGCUCCUCCGCCAGUACCGAAAGUAGCUCCUCUAGGUGCAGCUCUGUCUGGUGGAGCGACUGAAGAAGACUGAGCUCUAUUGCCCCCAUUACCAUUUCCAUGCUUGUUCUUUGGACACUCUCGCAUGAAAUGCCCACUCUAACCACACUUGAAGCAACCAAUGGAGCCCUCACGACAAACACCUGAAUGGUUCCUACCACAUUUGGCGAAGGCAAGAGGCUUACUAACCACUUACGCCACACUGCCCUGAGAAUAGGCAGGCUUAGCUCUAGAAUUCUGACCAUAGUACUCACCCUUGUUCUUAGGUGCAGGUGCACUAGCAGAUGAUGGAGCAUGUCCUUUCUAUUUCUGUUGGAAAGAUGACCGAUUGGCAUUACGCUUUUGCUGCCCGAACUCGUUCCCUGUCUUAGCCCUUUUGUUUUUGAACUCCUCUAUAUCUCUCAGCUUCUCUUCCUCUACAUGCUGCAUAUAAACCAUCAACCCUGAAAUGUCCAUGUCCCCAAUAAGCAUUGUUGCUCGGCCCUCUUUGCUUUAUAGAUGGCCCAACCCAGCAACAAACAAGCUCAUUCUACUCUUCAUGUCCUUAACCAUUUCCAGAGCAUAAUGGGAUAGUUGGGUGAACUUCAACCCAUAUUCAUGAACACUCAGAGAAUCCUGCUUAAGUGUAAGAAAUUCUCGUACCUUAGCCUCCUUCAACUCCCAGGGAAAGAAUAACCCCAAGAAAGCCUCUUCGAAACAUGCCCAACUCGCAGGUGGUGCAUCCUCAGCUCUACCCCAUUUCCACUGAUCAAAGCAAGUCCUAGCAACAUUCUUCAUCUGAUAUGCAGCUAGCUCAACUCUCUCAGUAUCAGCAACACGCAUCACAUCGAAUACCUUUUUCAGUUCCUCAAUGAAGUUCUCUAGAUCCUCAGUAGUGCUUGAACCAGUGAAGCUUGGAGGAUUCAUCCUCAAGAACUCACGAAUCCUUGAAGCAUCAGGCUCUCCCUAUCGAGCUCCUCUUUGCUGCCCAGCUUCAUUGGUCACAACUUGACUGAGCAUCUUUAUAGCUUCACAGAACUCAGUAUUAGUCACUUCCCCUUGAGGUUGCACUUCAGGUGCAUUGGGUAACUCUUGUUCCUCAACAUUCCUCCUAGCUGGACGACCUCUGAUUGCUCUUCGUAGAUGCAUGAUUAUCUUAAACACGCGCAAGAACGAAUUAGAGGGAAACUUUUAGAGAUUAAACUCUAACGCUCGAAAUGAAUGUGAAGGAAGUGAAGAAAUUCCUAAAAGUUGCAGCCUCCUAAUUAAAGAUGUGGCGCGUUUCACACCAAUAACUAGGACUCUACAGACAUGGCUUCAUAGACUCCCUAGGACUCUUGAGUUCUGUGCUCUGAUACCAAGUUUAUCACCCACCGAACCUACACCCUGGACAUGGCCGGCACUCGAAGACCAUUGUUGGCCCCAAGCGAACCAUUGGCCUGGCUUACUUAACUCAACGGAAGAAAAUAUUCAUAUAGUAACUUAAAAAAUAUUAUCGUAGCCAAAAUGGCAACUCAAGUCUUAAACGAUACAAAUGAAAUGAAUAAGACUAAAGAACUAACAUCUGACUGUCUAUGAAGCCUCUAAUAACAACUGAGAUGGAUGUUGGGACAGACCCCACAACAUCCUAAUAAACUAAACUAGAAAGCAAUGAAAUGGAUCCUCUGAAAUGCAAGAAGGCUCACCAAUAGACUCUGAACUGCUCAAUGGAUCAACGAUACACCGGAAUGCCGAUCCUAGUUACACGUGUCUGCAUCAUAAGACGAUGCAGGCCAACUGGCAUCAGUACAUUGAAUGUACGAGUAUGUGAGUUGGAAUGCUAAAACAACAUAGGCUAGAAAGAAUCUGAGAGAACUGAAGAACUUACAUGGCUCAACUCAACUCAACAUGACUGAACUCAUUUCAAUAUAAAUCAGUUUAAAAACAAGUGCAAUAUAAGGAAAAGUUGUUUUAAAACAUUAUAUUAACUCUGUGUGCAUUUAAAGAUACAAAUAACUCUGAGAUGUAUGUAAAAAUACAAAUAACUAAUGUAUAUAAAAAUACAAUACUUCUGUGGGAGUUUCACUAACCGACAACCACAUAAGAGCUAUAGUGAUGAUAUAUCGAUCUACCUCACGCUGCCAGCGCAUCCUAUACCCAGCCAAAGGUAUAGGACCUGAACUGCCUAAUGAAUCCACUAGUCUAUUUCGAAAAAGAUUCGUCCUAUACCUUGCCGCGGGUAUAGAACCUGAACUACUAAGUGGAUCUACUAGUCUAUACUAAAAAGCAUCAAGGAAUCAUCUAAACAAUAGGACCCUUUUCUACCCAUGGUGGCUACAUGGUUUUAUGGUGACGUAAGUUAUCUGAACUCAUGCUCGUCCCCAAUUCGGUGCUCAAUACUAUUCCCAAAAUAUACUAGCUAUUAUGUUUAAAAAAAAACAUACUUCUUCUCUUAUUUGAGAUUAGUGCUCAAAAACUUAGCUCAAAGGCUAUCUUGGAAAUCUCAAUUUCCCUUCUUUCUUCAUUUAGAAAUCAAUUACCCCUCUCUGAAAACUAGCCCGAAGGCUCUCUGAAAAUCUCAGUUUUCGUUCUUAUUUAAAUGUGAAAAAAGAUUUUAAAUCUCUUUGGGGAAAAUACUUAGUCCCCAGAUGCUUAUUGAAGAAAAGAACUUCAACUUUACGCUUUACUGAACUCAAAACUUAAGUCUUAAAACAAAGUUAAAACAUUUGUAAAAGAUUUUUUGAAAAACUUUAAGAACGUAUCUUAACUUGACUCUUGACUUUUCUUGAUUUUGAUCUUAACAGCUCCUGACUUGACUCUUAACUAAUCUUCUAAUUAAAUUAUCGAUUCAAGGAUUAUGAUUUGUGUUUGGAAAGACUUCAUGAUGUUUAGGAAUGAUUUCGAAUAGCUAAACUUGAGAAAAGUUACGAAAUCAUCGUCUUGGAACAAGUUCGCGACGCGGAGAUGUUUCUAAAUAAAUACUCCCAAAAUUUAAUUUUGAGACAGAGGAGUCUGCGUCCUGUCCGCGACGCGGAGUCAAUUUUUGUUCAUUGGGGAGGAACAAGUCCGCGGCGCGCGGACUUGUUUGACGAAAUCUGCUCUACUUUUUCCUUUUUCGUUUUCCACCUCCAAUUCGCCUAAACUCGAAUAUUUUCCUCAAAUUCAUUUUAAAUCCCGAUACCCAACAUAUGUACUGAAGAACCUAACUCAAGGCAACUCUAAAACACAACGUAAAGAUCUCAGAAACUCCACAGUUCAACCCAAUUCAAGAAUUCAUGUCAAAAACAUCAACAUUCAAACUCUUUUCGGACGAACUUCGUUGAACUAAACAUGUUUGGCGCGUGGGUGAAUGAACCCAACGUUAUGAGAGACUCACAUACCUUGUAGGAUCAAUUCCUUGACGAAUCCACCACCAAAAUCAAUUGUUCUUGGCGAAUCUUUCUUUUCUUCUUCUCCUUCCGCUUGCGUUCUUUCUCCAAAAACCCUAACUCUGAUUUUUCAAAAACGUAAACUGAACUAACUCAGUCUUGACCCCAAUUAUUUUACUAACAACGGAUUUAAUUAAUUGGGUAAAGAAAAGACCAAACUACUCUUUAAAAAUCUGGAUUGGGCAUUUCUUUAUUCAAACUACCCAACUUCCAAAGGACGUAACUCACUCAUCCGAACUCGGAAUCGCGCAAACUCGGCGGCGUUGGAAAGAUAAUUUCAAGAGAUUUCCAACCACAUCUGUAAUCACACCUAAAUCAUCCUGAUAUAGGAAUUAUAGUCAUUUGAAGUUGACCAAAAACUAACUUUAACUUGCUUAAAAAUUUCCAGAUUUCAUCAUUCUUUCCAAAAGUAACUAUUUCCAGAUUUUAAACUUCCUUCUAGUUCUUUCUAGUUGCGAGAUGUUACACUAUAGAUCUCUGUGGAAUUCAUAUUGAAGUUUUAAGGUUCAGAAGUUCAUUCUAAGGGCGCAAAUUACGACCUGUAGAAGUUCCUAUGACCCGUAGAUGGGUCCGUAGGAAUUGGACCCAAAAAUUUGAUUUUCAGUACUUUUUCCAUUAGUCAACAGUACGGGUCGUAACUCUUUCUACAACUCGUAGAAGUGAUUCUUAGGUCAUUGACUCAGAAAACUAUGUUGUAGUAAUCUCUGGUAAAAAACAAUCAUAACUUUUUACUCUGAAUUAAAAAUGAGGCAAACUUGGUGGCAUUGGAAAGAUGACUAAUAAAACUUUAAUUUUAUAGGCAAUGGGCCACCAUAAUCAGUAUGUGCUAAGAAAUAUAGUUAUUUGGAGUUGACCUAAGUAGAAUUUUGUAUCAAAACUUAAUUGGGGAGGAAGCUUUCAACUCAACUUUGUGUUAGAAGAUUCUAGUGACCUUAAUUCAUAUCUCCCUCACUAAAUAAUUGACCUUAGCACUAAAGAGAAAUUUAAGAAUGCCCGAUACGACCUUAUAUGCAAAAGAAGAAUGAUUCGGAUCAUAACUUUGAAAUUUUUAAGGUGUUACAAUUAAUUUCAAAUGUGACAAGUAAAAGUGAACCUAGAGAAUAUGAAUAUAUUUGUUUUCUAGCUCUUUACUACUCCUAGUUCCUAACAUUUAAGAAUUUAUCAGGAUAUUAAAAAUAAUUUCAUUUUGGAUAAUGACUUUCAUAAUAAUAUUACAUCAAGAAGCUAUUAAUUUAAAUAAACAAUUCUUUUAUCUUUAUCAUCCUCCAUCUGAUUAUUAGUCCGUUUGGAUUGGCUUAAAAAGUAGCUUUUAAAUCAAAAAUAAAAAGUCAAACUGAAAUGACUUCUAAGUCAAAAAAAAAUAAAAAAUAGGGAGAGACCGACUUUUGGUUUUUGACUUAUUUUAAGCAAUUAUAAACUUAUUUUAGGCCAUUUUUUACCUUGUCAAACACUUCCUAAUUUAUUUUGAGCUAUUUUUGUCUUAUUUCAAGUUAUUUUUUAUAUACUGCCGAACACUUCUAGGAGUCAAAAACCGACUUAAAAGUAGAUUUGACCAACUUUUAAGUCCAUCCAAAAAAAUGAUAGAAACUAUAAAGUAGCUAAACCUUUUUUUCUGUGUGUCAUUUAUGAAUUAGGACUUUGGUUAGCUAGUGGCUAAACAAACUAUAUAUCCAUAUAAAUAAGAUUUCCUUGUAAACAGUUUUGGCCACUCAUCUAAUAACCAUUACGUGCGUUUCAUUCUCUUCGAUCUUCUCUUUGAUUGCUUUUUAUGAAGUCGCACCGGGAGCUAAUGCUUGCUAUCUAAGAAUUGCUCCAUGGAUCUCAUCGGAAAUGUUUGAUGAUUCUUGGGGCUUCUUUGGCGACCGUGAAGUCACCGGAUGAAUUGCCGAGUAAAUAGAUCAGAUCCCUCCGUCCCCGAAGCGAAGAAAGAGGAGCAGGAACAAGAGGUUGUCCUCUCCUUACAGUUAAGGUAUUAGUCAUGCAGACUACAAGUUUCUCCCAAUUCAACAUUCCAUCGAUCGUACGGGCCUCACCUCGCCCUACAACCACCAUGCUCCGUCGCCAAACCACCUCAUCGCGGAGGUUAUCUCCGCUUUACGCCAUGGCUUCAUCCACAUCUCGUCACCAGGUUACUCACUCAAUGCCACCAGAAAAAUUGGAAAUCUUUAAGUCAUUAGAAUAUUAGGUCUCAAAAAAUGUCCUCCCACUCCGCAUGCCCGUAGAGAAAUGUUGGCAGCCCAUUGAGUUUCUUCCUUACCCAUCUCAAGGGCCUGAACAAUUCGAAGAAGAGGUUCCAGCCCUAAGGCAACAAGUUUAAGGGCUUUUGGAUGAGUACUUUUGUUAGAUCGAGAAAGAUUUUGAUAAUUGACAAAUAGAGGAACAGAUGAAAGGAACCGGUUGCUCCAACAUGUUCCUUUCAGACUGAAUCCAACUAGGAUAAGGAGAACGUCAGCCACGCGAAUUAGAAGUUAUAAACCAGUGCAAAAAGAUUUCCUUUCAUAAAGAAAUCUUAAGCGGAAUAGGAAGCGUAAAUAAAGUAGGAAGCAUAAGCAAAGUAGGAAGUAUAACAGCGUGAAUAACUUUCAAAUUCGAAACGGAGUAGGAAGCAUGAUCAGAUAUGUAAAUCGAGUUCAAGUUAAAAAAUGUUUUGAAGAGUUCAAAGUCUAUAUAUAGGGCAAUAUUUUCUUUGGUGAAAAUUGCGCACUUAAACAGAGCGUUACAAGCAGAAUACAAUCAAAUAGAGGGAGUUCAUAUUUGAGUGAAUUCUGAUUACGAAGUGCAGCCAACGCAAGGAAAAAAGAAUUGAAAAACUGAUUCAUAGGCUUAUGUUUUAUAGUUCUUAAGUCAUGUUUGCUUGUAUUGAGUUUUUAUCGAGUUGUAUCUUUAAUUCUUUCUAGAUCCAGUGAAGUAUAAAUUGGAGUAGGAAUAGAGACUUCAAGUUGGGGCGACUUAAAGACUUGGGAACAUAAACCUUAGGGGGUUUAUGUUGGAGUUUAGGAAUUAGAGUUAGUUCAUAGGAUUGCAAGAGUUGUAAUCCGAAUUCAUAACUUGAAGUGGGGUCGACGAUCUAGUUGGUUGUUGGCGUCUAGGAAUUAGAGUUUAUAAUUCAUUAGGUUACAUAGGCUUAUAAUCUUUUUUUGAGGCUCAGAGUUUAAUGAAGUGGAGUUAAAUCCUACAGAGGUGUAGGUCGUGGUUUUUACACUUGAUGAGUCGGGGUUUUCCGCGAUAAAAUAUUGUGUCAUUACUUUAUUUUCUUUACAUAACGUAACUGUUGUAAUCUGCAAAGAAACAGAUAGAAUAUACAUGUUCCUUAGGCAAAUCUGGGGGUUAGUAUUCCAACAACUUUGUUAUGCUGGAGGGUAAUAUGCUAAUUGAGGAUGAUUUGCCUACCUAUCAGACCGCGAUUAAUACGUUUGAUGGAGUACGCGAUGAGACUGGAUCCAGCCCAUGUCCAUGGGCAAUUUGGACUCGGGCAUGGUCCGCUGAGGAAAAUCGACUUAUUGAUCUGCUACGAACUUAUUUGUAUCUUUCAGGGAGAGUGGAUAUGUUGAUGGUCAAGAAAACACUACACUACUCUAUUGGAGCUGGAAUUGUAAGUGUUGCUCUGAACAUUUUCAUAAAAUUAUUUAGUUAAGAUGACCUAUAUAUAACAUCGUAUAACCUAAAUAAUGCAAUAAAUAAGUUGAAUGAAACCACCAAAUAUAUUGCACUACUCCUAAAAGAAGUAACGAACACCAAUUAAAUGUUUAAUUUACUACCCUUCUAUUCCAAAAUAAUAAUUCAUCCGUUCACUUUUACUUGUCACUUAUUUCUAAGAGAUUAACUUGUGUGCACUGACUGUGUAAAGUUUUUUACAUCAUCGGGUAAGUUAAUCUCUAUGUUAAUCUAUAUUUCUAAACCGUUUAAGUUUUGUGCACGAUCAGUGUAUAGAUUUUCUACACUAUUAGGUAAUUUUUAAGAUAAACAUGGUAACUUAAUUAAGUGAUUAAUAAAAUAUAUUUUUAAUAUAAUUAUAAUUAUGGUAAAAUAAAGUAAAUUAAAAUUGAGUCCUUUUUUCUUCUCUAACCAAAAUUAAUUUUAGUUAUCUUCUUAAUUAACCAAGUUUAUUUGCUUUUCUACAUUUGAAUAUUUUUUUUCAUCAGAAGUAAUUUUCAAUGCCACAAAUAAUUUCUUAAUUGUCGUUGUUUUUUUCUUUUGAAUUUUUGGCGAAGUCAUAAUCAGUACACACAAGAAGAAGAAUUAAAAAAAGUAGCAACUUAUUAUUCUGAUAUGCAAUAUUACGAUAUAUAUCCUGAAGAUCAAAAGGUUGAUAACAAUAUAAUCACUAAUACAAAUAUAAUUAUUAUCCCUAAGAAAAUUCACGAACAAGAAAACAUGAUUUUUACUGAAAAUAAUUAAAAGAUCAAUACGACGAAGACGCAAAAACUAAAAAAAUAGAACAAGAAAAUAAAGAGAUAAAACAAAAAAAAAAAUCAGAUUCAGAAAACCAAAUUAACUUGGUUAAUUAAGAAGAUAACUAUGAAUUAAUUUUGGUUAGAGAAGAAAGAGGACUCAACUUUCCUUAGCUAUAUUUUAUCGUAAUUAUAAUUGUAUUCAAAAAGAUAUUUUACUAAUUACUUAGAGCUUGUUUGGCAUUGCUGCUAAAAACUGCUUAUAAAAUGCUUUUGAAAAAAUGUAAUUUGUGUUUGGCUAAUUCAUUUGAAAAGUGUUUUUGACAAGCAAAUUGUGUUUGACUAAUCUUUUUAAAAAGUGUUUUUGAGACUCAAAUUACGAAAAAGGGUAAGUAUCAAUGUACUUUUUAUACUAAGAUUAUUUUAUAGAGAGAAACUAUUUUAAAUAUCUAUUAGAAAUUUUUUAAUGAAAUAUGCAUAUUCAAGUUUUCAAUCAAUAUUAUACAUAAAUAAAUUAAUUAAUUAAAUAUUAAUAUAAUAUUAACAUGAUGACUUAAAUAUAAUUCAAAAUAUCAAGAAAAAUAAAUUUAAAAACUAUUCCACAAAUUAAACCACUAUAUACAAAAAAAUUCACCACAAAAAUAAAUAAAAUCCUUCAUAUUUUUAAUACUACAAAAAUGUUGUUGUUACAUUUAUUUCUAAUUCUGUAAAAUAAGACGUAAAUUAAAAUAUAAAAUAAUAAUAAUAAUAGUAUAUAAACAUAAAAUAAAAAAUUAUUAUAUAAAAAUAAAAAAUAAAAUUCGUGCACUAACGGUGCACAAAACUUAAACUUAUUUUUAAAAUAGAUUUUUAUUUUUACUUGUCACUUUUGACAUAUCAAUAAAAGACAAUAUUUUUUUCCAUGUUUUGCCCUCAACAUUAAAUACUUAUUUUCAAGACAUCAUUUAAUAGAGGAUAAUUUAGUAAAAUACAUAUACCAUUAAUUAUUUUCUUAAUGGGUGUGUCAAGUUAAAAUAUGACAAAUAAAAAUGAAUAUAGGGAGUAAUUAAUGUUUUUAGUUUAGGCACACCACUUAAUUAAGUAUAUUUUAUUUUAUUUCUAUGAAAUUACCAUCGCCAAAAGGCUGGGUCUUUGGCUUAAGGGGGCUGGUUUGCCCAUUCAAUCUACUCAAAUCUUAAGAAACUACUCAUUUCUAAAAAUAGAAAGUGUUUUUAUUAACUUAGCCCUAAAUAAGAAGUGUUAAUAAAUUCAAAGACUGCUCAUUCCAAAUUCAUUCGAACAAUGUGAUACGUAGUCUUUGAAUUUGGAAUAUUAAAGUUUGUGUAUUAAAAAUCAUAUAAGAAGCAAUUCGCUGCAAAUUUUUGAAAAAUACAUAUGUUAUAAAUAUAAAUUGUCUAUCAUGUUUGCAUCUUAGGACGUCGGAGUAGAGAACAAUCCAUUUAUGGGCUUUGUGUACACAUCAUUUCAAGAGUGAGCCACAUUUCUAACGCAUGGUAAUAUGGCUAGGCUAGCUACAGAAGGCGGAGACCCCAUGCUAGCACGUAUAUGUGGAACCAUUGCAGCAGACGAGAAGCGGCAUGAGAAUGCAUAUACAAGAAUUAUUGAAAAGUUACUGGAAGUGGACCCAAACACGACUAUAAUAGCCAUUGCAUAUAUGAUGAGGAAGAGAAUCACAAUGUCACUGCACCUCAUGUAUAAUGGGUAAAAUCCGAAUAUAUUUAAGCACUUUUCGGCAAUUACCCAAAAGCAGGGGGUUUACACAUCUCGUGAUUAUGUUGAAAUAUUAGAAUUUUUCAUAACAAGAUGGGAAUUGGAAAAACUUGAAGGCUUGACAACGGAGAAGGCGAGACGUGCACAGGAUUUUGCGUGCAAACUUCCACGUAAGAUUAGGAGGGUUGAAAAUCGAGAAAAUAUAUUAGAGUCACGUUCGGUGAAGUUUAGUUGGAUUUUUAACAAGCAGGUUUGUGUUUGAAUGUAUUGAUUUGUAAUAAAUAUGUAAAAUUAAAACUAGUACAUCGUUAAAUUGUUUGUAGCUAAUUUAACUAUCGCGAGCAGAACAUUUAAUGAAUAUGCUUGCAAAUGAAGAGGCAAAGAGACUACUUUUUAAUCAUGUCUAGGAGUGGCAAACGAGCGAGUUAAGUCGAAUAUGUGUCGAUCGAAAACAAGUUAAAUAAAAAUGGAUAAAGCACUCAACUCGACUCACAUUUUAAAUGGUAAAAACGAGUUACCCAAUGGAUAAUAUGAAUAAAUAUGGAUGCCCAUAUUAUAAUAGAGAUCUUGUUAAAAGCUUUAAAAAUAAAAUCUUUUUAAAUUUAAUUUUUUUAUCACUUCACCCCCCCUACCCCACCCCCCCNNNNNNNNNNNNNNNNNNNNNNNNNNNNNNNNNNNNNNNNNNNNNNNNNNNNNNNNNNNNNNNNNNNNNNNNNNNNNNNNNNNNNNNNNNNNNNNNNNNNNNNNNNNNNNNNNNNNNNNNNNNNNNNNNNNNNNNNNNNNNNNNNNNNNNNNNNNNNNNNNNNNNNNNNNNNNNNNNNNNNNNNNNNNNNNNNNNNNNNNNNNNNNNNNNNNNNNNNNNNNNNNNNNNNNNNNNNNNNNNNNNNNNNNNNNNNNNNNNNNNNNNNNNNNNNNNNNNNNNNNNNNNNNNNNNNNNNNNNNNNNNNNNNNNNNNNNNNNNNNNNNNNNNNNNNNNNNNNNNNNNNNNNNNNNNNNNNNNNNNNNNNNNNNNNNNNNNNNNNNNNNNNNNNNNNNNNNNNNNNNNNNNNNNNNNNNNNNNNNNNNNNNNNNNNNNNNNNNNNNNNNNNNNNNNNNNNNNNNNNNNNNNNNNNNNNNNNNNNNNNNNNNNNNNNNNNNNNNNNNNNNNNNNNNNNNNNNNNNNNNNNNNNNNNNNNNNNNNNNNNNNNNNNNNNNNNNNNNNNNNNNNNNNNNNNNNNNNNNNNNNNNNNNNNNNNNNNNNNNNNNNNNNNNNNNNNNNNNNNNNNCCUAUAUCUCAUUUAAUAUUUUUAUGUAUCUAUCUUUUUGUUAAUGUAUCUAAACUUCCAAUGUCUUGUAUCUACUUCUAUUAAUGUACUUAAAUUGUUAAUGUGCCAAUGUCUUGUAUCUACUUCUAUUAAUGUACUUAAAUCGUUAAUGUGUUGUAUCUCAUUUUUAUGUUAAUGUAUCUGGCGUGCAUAUGCCUCUCUGGUUAUAUUUAGUAUGUUUAUUAAUAUAGUUGAUAUAAUAUCUUUAUGUAUCUGAUUAUUUUAUGUUAAGCUUUCAUUGUCUUUAUAUCUCAAAUUAUUUUUGCAGCACUAACACUUACAAUUUCAAAACGAAAAGAUGAUGAUUUGGCUAAAAAAAUAACUUCACCAUCACGGUUACAAUUCGAAAUGAAGAUUAGGAAUCGAGAUUCAAAGAAAGAAAAUCGAAUUAAUAGGAAGAAGAAUAUUUAUACACUUUUUGUGUUUCUGGAAAAGAAAUGAACGAAUUUUUAUAUAUGUAUCUGAAGUAGCAUUACAUGUAGUUUCGGUUCUACCUUCAACUCCAAUCGAGCAAUUGAUGUAUCUCGCUCAAAAGAUAUUUCACCAUUAUUACUACAUCCAAAAUUUUGAUCUUUAGUUGUUAUGCAUAAUGGAUAUAACCCGCAAUCGAAUUUACAUCUUUUAAAUUCCAUAAAAUAUCUCACUUCAAAUUUCCAUUAUUAUAAUCAAAUUGUCUUCCAUCAUACAUCUGAUCUCAAUACUUUUACGUGUACACUCAAUUCAUAGUGUUAUGAAAUCUGACAAUGUUAAAGCCAUGGACAAAUUCAGUGUGUUUUGAUUUGGUUGAUUUUUUGAUGGUGUGCAAUAUUAUUUUAGCAGUAAUAAUAAUGACUCUGUGUUAUUCCUUUCGAGGAGGAAUUGACAUAGAGUUGGGAGUAGAUGGGGUGCCAAGGAGCACCUCCUGGGUUGGCUUAACAAAGCAUUACUCCCUGUUUGGUGGCCCAGAAACGUUGUCAAGAUCAGAAAUCAGUGCCGGCAAGUUGCGCGCUAUUAAAUUGUAUUCCAUCAAUUCUUUAUUUUUUAUUCGAUUUCAGAGAGCCAUGAAUCCUCCGAAUGCCUCAAUAAUACUGUGAUAUUGAUCAUUUGGAAAAAAAAUCUCGAAACUUUAGGAUUCUCAGAAAGGUAUUGAUGAAGAAGAUGAAGUUUACAGUUUCAGAAAUUUGAGGAUACUCAGAAAGGUAUUGAUGAAGAAGAUGAAGUUUACAGUUUCAGAAAUACUAAGGUUUAUGAUUUUGAUAUUUUAGUAAAACUGGUAAUAGUUGAUUUGGAAGAAUCCUCUAUAUUCAUUUUGGUUGUUAAUUUCCAUCAUUUACUCCUUUAAUUAAGGAAAUAAGUUACAACAUUUAAUUCAAAAGUAAUUAAAUAGUGUAUCUUGAUUUUUAAAUAUGAUGGAUACAUGUAUACGGGCCAUGAUACAUGUAUCCAAAAGCCAAAAAAUGGUAUAUAAAGUAAUAUAAAAAACUAAUGGGAAUCCUAGUAAUUAGGAUCUAAAAUAGUGGGAUUUAUGUAGUUUGCUCUUAAAUACAAAACAUUCCCAAGAUCUGGUAUCAUUAGUCGGUAGUCGAGCUACUAAUUUCAACGGAGUAUAAGAUAAUUAGACAUAUAGACAAAAUUAUCUUUGAAUGCAAAAUAAUAGGGGUGUGCAAAAACCGAACCGACCAAUAAACCGAACCGAUAAAAUGUUAUUGGGUUAUUGGGUUAUUGGGUUUUUAAUGGGUUUAUAAAAAAAAAUUAUUGGGUUAUUGGGUAAACCGAUAACCCAAUAAGGUGAUAGUUAUUUACUACUUUACCCUUCCUAAAUAUUAAAUAUAAAUAAUUUAAUACAUAAGUAGAUUCUAUAUUAGAUUUUCAGUAGGAGUUAGUACUUACCGCUUGGCGCUUAGAGUAAAAUUAGGGUUAGAAACGAGCCAACGGCGGCGGCAAGCCUGCAACAACCAACAAGUUUCCAAGGAGGGUUCGCAACAACGACGAUAGCAAGGGCUAGGCGACGGUGAAGAUUUUCUACCCUUUUCUAAUCUCUUCUUCUCUAAUAUCUGUCCUUGUAUAAUUUUCUUCUUCUGUAAUCUAUGCCUUUUUUGAUAAACAAGGUUGACACCCUGCUGGCUGUUACCUUUUGACCUAUAUUAGCAAUAAAAUAGAAAUAUUGAGGUUCUGAAUCCAUCUUUUAUUCAAGUAGUGUAAAAAGUACAUCUCAGUAGUUUGAUCUUUCUUUGAACAAUACAAUAUGUAGUUUUCCAAGUUCCAUUAGUAGUACACUUUGCAAAUUGAGCAAUAUUACCUCUUAAUAGUAAAUUGAUAAGAAGCAAGAGUAACAAGAUCCUAGUUUUAAUUAGUAACUAGAGCAAGUAGUGAAUAACAGAGCAUGAGACCCAAUAAUAUUUGUGAAAUUAUAAAUCUACUAUUAUAUNNNNNNNNNNNNNNNNNNNNNNNNNNNNNNNNNNNNNNNNNNNNNNNNNNNNNNNNNNNNNNNNNNNNNNNNNNNNNNNNNNNNNNNNNNNNNNNNNNNNNNNNNNNNNNNNNNNNNNNNNNNNNNNNNNNNNNNNNNNNNNNNNNNNNNNNNNNNNNNNNNNNNNNNNNNNNNNNNNNNNNNNNNNNNNNNNNNNNNNNNNNNNNNNNNNNNNNNNNNNNNNNNNNNNNNNNNNNNNNNNNNNNNNNNNNNNNNNNNNNNNNNNNNNNNNNNNNNNNNNNNNNNNNNNNNNNNNNNNNNNNNNNNNNNNNNNNNNNNNNNNNNNNNNNNNNNNNNNNNNNNNNNNNNNNNNNNNNNNNNUAUAUAUAUAUAUAUAUAUAUAUAUAGAUAGAUAGAUAGAUAGAUAGAUAGAUAGAAGCAAUUCCCAGCAUAUUUUUUGAAAAUACAUCUUAUAAAUAUAAGUUGCUCAUCAUGUUUGAAUUCUAGGACAUCGGAGCAGAGAACAAUCCAUAUAUGGGCUUUGUGUACACAUCAUUUCAAGAGCGAGCCACAUUUCUAACGCAUGGUAACAUGGCUAGGUUAGCUACAGAAGGUGAAGACCCCGUGCUAGCACGUAUAUGUGGAACUAUUGCAGCGGAUGAAAAGCGUCAUGAGAAUGCCUACACAAGAAUUAUAGAGAAGUUGCUAGAAGUGGACCCAAACACGACUAUGAUAGCCAUUGCGAAUAUGAUGAAGAAGAGAAUUACUAUGCCGUUGCACCUCAUGUAUGAUGGGCAAGAUCCAAAUAUAUUUGAGCACUUUUCUGCCAUUUCCCAAAACCAAGGCGUCUAUACAUCUCGUGACUAUGCUGAAAUAUUAGAAUUUUUCAUAACAAAAUGGGAAUUGGAAAAGCUUGAAGCCUUGACAGGGGAGGCGAGGCGUGCACAAGAUUUUGUGUGCGGACUUCCACGUAAGAUUAGGAGGUUGGAAAAUCAAGCCAAGAAAUUAGAGUCACGUUCGGCAAAAUUUAGUUGGAUUUUUAACAAGCAAGUGAAUGUUUAGAUGUAUUGAUUUGUAAUAAAGAUGUAAAACUAAAACGUAUCCUUUUACUAAUAAUAAUAAUAGUCUUUUUGGCUAAUCUACUAAAA